UACAGAGGUCUCAAGCGUUGUUCGGAUUCAUUGGGCGUAGAGGGUGCGUAGGCGGCGCGGUAAGUCGGGUGUGAAAUCUCGGAGCUUAACUCCGAAACUGCAUUCGAUACUGCCGUGCUCGAGGACUGGAGAGGAGACUGGAAUUUACGGUGUAGCGGUGAAAUGCGUAGAUAUCGUAAGGAAGACCAGUGGCGAAGGCGGGUCUCUGGACAGUUCCUGACGCUGAGGCACGAAGGUCAGGGGAGCAAACGGG
rnacentral:rRNA from 1 species